rnacentral:rRNA from 1 species
AUUGAACGCUGGCGGCAGGCCUAACACAUGCAAGUCGAGCGGAUGAAGGGAGCUUGCUCCUGGAUUCAGCGGCGGACGGGUGAGUAAUGCCUAGGAAUCUGCCUGGUAGUGGGGGAUAACGUCCGGAAACGGGCGCUAAUACCGCAUACGUCCUGAGGGGGAAAGUGGGGGAUCUUCGGACCUCACGCUAUCAGAUGAGCCUAGGUCGGAUUAGCUAGUUGGUGGGGUAAAGGCCUACCAAGGCGACGAUCCGUAACUGGUCUGAGAGGAUGAUCAGUCACACUGGAACUGAGACACGGUCCAGACUCCCACGGGAGGCAGCAGUGGGGAAUAUUGGACAAUGGGCGAAAGCCUGAUCCAGCCAUGCCGCGUGUGUGAAGAAGGUCUUCGGAUUGUAAAGCACUUUAAGUUGGGAGGAAGGGCAGUAAGUUAAUACCUUGCUGUUUUGACGUUACCAACAGAAUAAGCACCGGCUAACUUCGUG